ensembl:lncRNA
CAAUGAGAAACGUUGGAAUAUGUUUGUUUCUUUCUUUGGAGCCUUGAGAGAGUUGAUGCAUUUUUUAUGAUUUUAAUGUAUAUAAAUUUGGAUUCCUACCUCAGAUAUUUGGACAAUUUUGUUCUUUUUCUGUGACUAUGCUCCUUCUGCGUCCGACACAGGACUCUGCAGUAAGUAAAUGUCCACAGAGGCCUGCAAGCUUUGAUAGUUUUAUAAAAGUAUAUAACAAGUGUUCCAUAAGGUUCCUCUGACAUUUGUAUGCUUUAAAUAGGUGAACUGUACUUUAGAUUUAUAAUUGCCUAAAGUAUGAGUCUGCAUUCCUCUUCAGAUCAGAAAUACGUUAGAUAUGUUUCUUCAGAAUAAUUUGAAUCAAUGGUUGUUGAUCAAUAAUCGUGACAAUUUGUAUAUCAAGGAACUAAUCUCACAGCCCAUUGUUCAUUUAGUUUCAGUCAUUGUGCAAAUGUAUUGUUGAUAAGGUUGGGAAACCUGCAGUCGGCUGAGACUGAAGAAGUCACUUGGAUGAGUGACGAAAAAUUUUUCCCGCUCAAAACGUUACGUCCAGAUGAACAGAAUCCAAUUUGGGGAUUCAGAAUCAUUUGUCUGCAGCAUUUUCAGCUGCAUAAAAACAUGACGUCGAUUACGUCUGUGCAAUCAUAAAAUCCAUGUUAGAGAUCAAAGAGUUUUUGAAGUGAAUCUAUCGUGAGUGCAAAAACUACGAUAUAACAAAAUGGUGUUUGAAAUCCUUGCAUCCGGAGCAUUACUUUAAAUCCUUGGAUUUGGUGUACGAGAAAUCUGAAAAUAGUAUGAAGGGAAAAAAGUUUCAUUCAAAAUGAAACUCAAACUUAAAAAAGUUGAUUUUUGCCAUCUCUAUUUAUUAAUGUGUUUCUUCCAAGGACAAACACAUUGUCAAAGUCAUCUGAUAAGAAAUCCCAUCUGCAGCGUUUAUCUUCAGUCUACUUCAGCUGUGAUAUGAAUGAACUGAAUCUGUUGUAAAUAAUGCUGUUCUUAGUUUUACUGUUUAGGGUACAAUGAAGAAUGUGGAGCUCCAGAGCUCUCCUCCUCUCAGUACUAACUGUGAAUCUCUUCUGUGCUGCAGUGGGUGAGUAGCUGCUGUGUUCAGCUGAUGAAGCAUUAGUUUGUAAACUUCCUGUUUCUGAAGUUUAAAAGAAGGAUUUAAAGCAGUAAAAAGUCACAUACCUGCUGCCUGUUACCACAGUCUAAGUCCAGAGACCUGCUUCAGUCAACUUCGUGCUGAUAUUGAUUCUUAGACUCUGAUUUCUGUUUGAAAUCACAUGAUUUAAAAUGUUUGAUACUUCAAAAAUCAGAGAAAUUGUGCUCUGAAUUACAGAAAAUAUUUUCUUCUUUCCCUGAUGGAGACCGCGAGUCCACACUGGGCCUCACAUUCACCCCGUAAUGAAAACUAAGCAAAGCAGACCGUCACACACUUGUGUACGUGGAAACUAACAAAUAGAGCUCUGCUGUCAGUUCAUUGCUCUCAAACAAUACGUUUUAUCUCUGUUCUAUAUCUUUCUUUUGAUUAGCUUCCCCUCAUAAAAGACAGUCAGAAAGAGACGCCUGACUCCUGAGAUUGUCAGUAUGCUUACUGAGUUUCAUGAGCUGAUUCUGCCUUUUAAUAUGGUUCCUAAUUUAUUCUGUGUCUGUUUCCUCCUGCAGGUCAAAGUAACUUCACUAUGAGUGAAGAACAGGAGGUCUACCAAGCUGAGGAAAAAAGUAACAUCACAAUAACAUGGCUGCUCCAUUUAGACACCAACAGGCCUCCUGACUUCCUGCAAAUAGACCUAAUGAAUGUGAAAAGGAAGACACAGGUUUUCUUCUAUAACAGCAAGACUGGCACUGAGGUGUAUCCAGAUGAGAACUACAGAGGACGACUGCAGUGUGAUCCACAGCUCGCCAGGAAAGGACGACUUGAAUGUCUCUUAACUGAUCUCAGGCUCAACGACACGGGGAUGUAUCACUGCAUCGUUGUCCUUAACGAAGAAGUUAUUUCCAAAACCUGUGACCUCAGUGUUACAGCAACUUUUAACAAACCUGUGGAAGUGACAUCAAAACCAGCGAACUCUAAGAGGAUCGGCCUCCACGCAGCUCUGGCUUUGUUUGCAGUGGUGAUCAUAGCGCUGCCACUGCGUUACCUGUCUGUAACAUUUUGUAAAUAAUAUUAUUUGUAUUAAUGUGAAGUAGCAGCCCAUUACAGAUUACUCCUGAGGUCACCUCUGACUGUAAUGAGACUAGGGAUGGGUAUCGUUUAGGUUUUAUCCGAUACCGGUGCCAAAUCAGUACUUUUGAAACGGUGCCGGUGCUCAAACCGGUGCUUAAAGAAUGGAGAACACAAAAUUGGUCCAAAAACCUCUCAUGUUCAGCUGUUUUUUUGGAAAAAGAUAACAAUGUUAGUCUUUUCUGCAGCUAUAGAGGAUUUAUGGCAUCACUCUUGGCUGGAAGCAGUGCUUAAACAAUGGAAAAAACACAAACUUUGUCUAAAAACCUCUCAUGUUUAACUGUUUCCCACUUUUUCUUUGGUCAUUUUAGCCUUUUUAGCCAGGGUGAAGGGAGUAUCUGCCAUCAAACAAGAAGACAGCCGCAUGUAGCUAUGAUGAUGUUUGCUAGUUCACUUUACAUGCAUUAAUGUAAUAACGUGGUUAGCCUACUCAACGUAAAUUACACACGAACAACAUUAAGCUACUCACGCAGAAAAGAACGGCUGCUGCUGCCAUCAUCAUCCGUCAUCAUUUCUGCUACACUGACAGGGCUAGGGGCCAGGACUCUCCUCUUCGGGUUUUUGGGGGAUGUUGCUAACUCCGGGUCCGAUAACAGGCACCACACCUGCAGUAGAUGUGUGAGGUCUCGCAGCAAGCUAUCAAAUACAGUGCAUUUCUCGGCUUUUAAAAAAAACGCUAUGCGUCGCCAGGUGUUUCAUCGGAUUUGAGGUGUUACCUCCUUUGACAGUAUCACAGUAUCCUUGGACAGUCUCGGUCGUUGCGUCCUUGGGCAAGACACUUCACCCGUUGCCUACUGCUGGUGGUCAGAGGGCCCGGUGGCGCCAGUGUCCGGCAUCCUCGCCUCUGUCAGUGCGCCCCAGGGUGGCUGUGGCUACAAUGUAGCUUGCCAUCACCAGUGUGUGAAUGUGUGUGUGAAUGGGUGGAUGACUGGAUAUGUAAAGCGCUUUGGGGUCCUUAGGGACUAGUAAAGCGCUAUAUAAAUACAGGCCAUUUAUCAGCUUAAAGCACUUGUUGCAGGCUGCUGAGUUUGCAUCUUUUGCUGUGAAGUACAGCCAGACUUUUGACCGCUUCGCCUUGGGCAUUUUUAAUCUGUAGCUCUGCUCUAAAAGAAUGUACGUACCUGGACCCGCCUACUAUCCUCGGAAACGUAAAAUGAUUGGCUAGAAUCUAAAGUGUAUCACAGCUCUGGAAAAAAAAGCACCGAAAUAAAGCACCGAAAUGUGCACUGCUUUUCGAUCUGGUUACUACCGUUUAUGUCAGAACUGGUACCCAUCCCUAAAUGAGACUGCUGCCAAUGUUUUUCAAAUUCCUCAGAGCUGUGCCACAGAGCAGUGCACAUUUACACCACACCCACUCUUCUACAAUACUAUGAAAAAGUCUUGAGCCGCCGAUCUCUUUACAUUUCGAAUUCCAGGAGUCAGAUGUUCUUGUAAGUCUUGAAAGUCCAGUUCUUAUGCCUGACCAAUUUUUUCAGAAGUCUUUCCAGACAAAAGGUUAAACUCCAAGUAAUGCAUAAAAAACAAAGUUUGCCUUUUUGACAAUCUUUUAAUUAUUACUACCUUCUUUAAAAAAAAAAAAAAAAAAAAUGUUAAUUCACUUCAACAAAUGGAGAACAACAACAGAAGGAUAUGCUAACUCCAGCUAUAAAGCUUUAAAAAAUUUUCAUCCAGCACUUUGUUAUCAGACUUUGAUAUUGUCAUAUUUAGCACAUGUGUGGCUAAUUAACUCAUUAACUAAUUAGCCCUCAUGUGUGUCUGUUUCUGCUCCUGUUUACAAACCAUAUGAAGCACUUUAGACUUUAUGAAGGUUUAUGUGUGCGUCUAUUUCAAAGGUCAACAUGGCCAAAAGACUUUGCUGUUGACACUUUGCACACAAAUUGGUGUGUUGAAGAACACCAAUCAAUGAGUCGACCAAUCAGUGUUUACCCAUAGUUGACCUUAAGAAGCUGCUUUUUAAACAUUUUUUUUUAUUUGAGAUACCCAGAAUACAAGAUCAGUAAAGUUGAUUUAAUGUUUAAAAUUUUAAAUCUCUUCAUUAGAUAUGGGGCAGUGUCAUAUGAUGUUUAAGAGUGGGCACUUUAAAGUUAUCUCUGACUAGGAUUUUAGAUUUUGUUAAGCAAAACAACAAAAAGAAAGUCUGGCUUUGUUGAACCUGGUCCACAGAAUGAUAUCUCUCAGGACUUAAUUUCAGUUUUACAUCUCUUUGCUGUUUCACUGUGAGGCUUUGAAAAUUUAAGGUCCAGAGUUUACGGGGGUUAACUCAGACGUACCUCAGUUUCAGCCAUUUGGGUUUCUCUUUUUGAGUGACCUCAGUCUCAUUGACAAAGAAGUUGAUGUGGAGUGGAGAUGGUGUGUGGCUGCAAAGUGGACAGACUCUGAGAGCAGUAUUAGUAUAGUAUUAAUAUUUUAAUUUUAUGUUAGGUAUGUUAAUAAAUAAAAAAAAGGACAUUGGUGCUUUUUUCUGCAUAGAAAUGUCCACAAUAAGUCUUUAAUUAGAACAAAAAUGUAAUUUAAAACAGUUUUGUACAAUAAAUAUUUCUUUUAAAUUUGGUAACAAAGAAGGAAUUUAUUAAUGUUGAAGAAUGUUAAGCAUACAGCUUCAUGCUAAUUUUGUAUAUUCAUGUUUCUGCUAUAUUCAAUAAACAUUUAAACACAUUAAGUUUUUUGUUUUUUUAAACAAAUGCUUAUGUUAAGUGACGGCUGUGUGCAAACAGGAAUAGGACCCAAGGUGCAGACUCCAGAUACAAACUUAAACCGAAACAGCUUUAAUAUUAUUAAUUAUUAAUAUUAAUAUCAACUGGAAAAAACUGGAAAAACUGGAAAAAAGUCAAAAUAAACUAACACCGGCAGACUGACAAAACACACAGCAAAAUAAACGGUAGAUCGCGAUACGGACACAGAGAAACACAGGGCUUAAAUACACAGAGGGAGC